ensembl:lncRNA
GUUUGGCUUUGUACAGGGACCUUUCUUCAUAUCAGUUGUUACUGUAUUUUAUUUCAUCAACAACAAUACCAGACCAAAAGCUAAAGCCUGUUUUUCAUGUUGUAACAAUGUGUUUAGCAUAAGGAAGUGAAAUGCUGCCCUCUACAGGUUGCAUCAAAAUUUUGGAUUUAAAGGAUGUGAAAUAUGCCAUUUAGAUUUGUUCUCAAAAUGUAUUAAAAAAAAAAAGAUUUAACUAAUUUCUCUACCUGACCUUUAACUUGGUCAAUCAGGAUACUCGGAUAUUGUAAUGUCGUAAAGUGCGUUGUCAGAGAUGAGCUUCUGAAAUGCAUCUCGACUACAGCAAAAACAAUAAAGAUUAUUAUAGAGUUGUGUUUAAGUAAUAAACAGAGAAUCGUGAGACUUGAAUCAAGUUGCUUUUACUGACCAUGCCAAAACAAUUACAGUCAAUCGCCUUUAGACAAACAGCAGAUACAGACAGAGCGUUAUAUUAAACCCACAAAAAUCCUCCAUACACGGCUCCUAAAGUCAGUAUGACUCAGCCAACCUUUCACUAUUAGAAAUCAUACAAUCACAGUCACAUGCCAAAGCAGAGGAGCUGUCCCAGUUUCACCGUCCAGGUUAUAGGCGCCAUUUUGAGUACUUUUUACCGAUCAAAUGAUGUAAUAUUCUAGUUCGUUGCUAUAACUAGGAUGCUAAUUUUCCAUCACUCCUAAAAGCCCCAUGGAUAUUCUGAACGUUCAGGAUUUUGUGUCUGCCUUCAGUGUUUGCAUAUGUGCUUAUGACUUGUGCUUAGUGACAAAAAGAGUGCAAACCGUGCCCUAAAAUCCUAAACAUGCCACUAUUUGACACCUACACUUACGGUCUAAAGUCCUUCAGAGCCAGGCUACCCCGGAAACAACAGAAUGAAGCAGUACAUUUGUGCAAAAAAACCCCAAAAAACUCCAUAAGCUUUCUUGCAUUUUCUUGUGUCGUUAACUGAUUAAUAAAACACAAAAUACAAUUCGUCAAGAUACAACAAAACAAAAGAAACAGUGCAAGAGUGCGAGAGUUUAAAGUUCACAUAAAUUAUAUAAGGAUCAGAUAGAUACAAAGAAAUUAGUGCUUGUGAAACUAAAGACUAAAGUUUGCUAAAGGUACAGGAUGUAACUUUUCUCGUGAAGCCUCCUCGUCUCCAUUGAGAUGUAUUUGCUUAACCUGGAAUGUUCCACAGUACGACAUUAAAAAGCGGUGCACCCCGGCCAAAUUACGGUUCAUAUCUGUUCAGAGAAGACCCAGCUCACAGUGAGAAUACGUGCUUUUCAAGGUAUUUUUUGAGCAAUAAAAACUGAGCAAAGACAACAACUUGUUUAAUGCCAAACUGUCGAUCUCCAUGGAGACAGGCAGGUGUCAGAUGCCAAGUUACAUAGAGCACCUUUAACAGACUCAAAGUAGUUAAUGAUGAUUCAUAAAAUGCGUUUACAAGUCAGACUUCCUGUGUAAUAUGAGUCAAACUGUAGGAAGAGAUGCACAUGAUCGUCUCUAUGGUUUUAAGUUUCAAUACGUUUCAAUACUAACAAGGCCAAUUGUCCAUUGCAUUAUAUGACUCUUGACUCUAUGACUUUGUUUUAUUGUCAUUUCAAUUGUGAAGAAAUUUCACAAUGAUUUGACACAAACUGAUUGAGGCAAGUAAGUAUGAUAAAAAUAAUUUGAUGGAUUCAGAAGUUUUUUUUGUCAAU